UUAUUCAUCUUCUUUCUUUCGAUCGAAAAUGGUAGGUCUUCUCCUUCGGGUAUUUCUGUUCACUUCACUGUCUGCAUUCAUUCGUGAAUAUCUUUUCUCUUUUUCAGGCUGGUGGUCCAGGUACAUCUCCAUGCAAGACUCCAAAAUCUCCAAGGACAAGUUGGCGGUAUUAUGGGGAUAAAAUCAACAUACAAAGUGUUGAUGAUGAACAACUGGCAAGGAGACCCUUGUGGCCCUAAACCAUUUUCAUGGGAUGGGAUCAUCUGUAGAUUUCAAGACUUCAAUCCACCUCAAAUUAUUUCAUUGAACUUGUCUUCAAGUGGAUUGAGUGGGGACAUAUCUCCUUUCAUCCAGAACCUCACCUCAUUGCAAACUUUGUAUGUCUAGUUUUUUAUAUUUAUUAGAUUUAGUAUAUGUAUAUAUUGAAAUUAAUUAAACCAAUAUUAUGUUCAUUAAUCUAGUAUAUAUAUGUUUAAUGAUGUUUGGUUUAAUAUUAAUUAACAGGGAUUUAUCCAAUAACAAUCUAUAUGGGGAUGUUCCAAAUUUUCUAUUCCA